UACAGAGGUGGCAAGCGUUGUUCGGAAUUACUGGGCGUAAAGGGCGCGUAGGCGGCCUUCUAAGUCAGACGUGAAAUCCCCCGGCUUAACCUGGGAACUGCGUCUGAUACUGGGAGGCUUGAGUAUGGGAGAGGGAUGUAGAAUUCCAGGUGUAGCGGUGAAAUGCGUAGAUAUCUGGAGGAAUACCGGUGGCGAAGGCGGCAUCCUGGACCAUAACUGACACUGAGGCGCGAAAGCUAGGGGAGCAAACGGG
rnacentral:rRNA from 1 species